rnacentral:rRNA from 1 species
UACGAAGGGGGCUAGCGUUGAUCGGAAUUACUGGGCGUAAAGGGCGCGUAGGCGGACAGUUUAGUCAGAGGUGAAAGCCCAGGGCUCAACCUUGGAAUUGCCUUUGAUACUGGCUGUCUUGAGUUCGGGAGAGGUGAGUGGAAUGCCGAGUGUAGAGGUGAAAUUCGUAGAUAUUCGGCGGAACACCAGUGGCGAAGGCGACUCACUGGCCCGAUACUGACGCUGAGGCGCGAAAGCGUGGGGAGCAAACAGG